UCCGUCGCUCAGGCUGGAGUGCAGUGGCGCGAUCUCGGCUCACUGCAAGCUCCGCCUCCCGGGUUGACGCCAUUUUCCUGCCUCAGCCUCCCGAGUAGCUGGGACUACAGGCGACUGCUGCCACGCCCGGCUAAUUUUUUGUGUUUUUAGUAAAGACAAGGUUUCACCGUGUUAGCCAGGUCGAUCUCCUGACCUCGUGGUCCACCCGCCGAACGAGGUCGAUCUCCUGACGUCGUGGUUCACCCGCCUCGGCCUCCCAAAGUGCUGGGAUUACAGACGUGAGCCACCGCGCCCGGCAUGAAUAGUACUUAUACAUGUUUAGAUGCAAAUCUUUCCUUACAUAGUGUUCCUCCCCUCUGGAGGAUGCGGCGCUCAAGAUGCCAUGUUGGAAACAGAGAAACUGGACCCUGAUCUACCGGUGCCUUGACCUUGGACUGCCCAGCCUCCAGACCUGUGUGAAAUAAAUUUAUUUUCUUUAUAAAUUAUCCAAUCGGUGGUAUUCUGCUAUAGAAGCACAAAACAGACUAAGACAGGCAAGAAGAUUAUUCUGGCUGCAUAGAUGAGUUGGGAAAUAGUCUAUCUUCUAUUUUCUGGAAGAUUUUUUUGUAAUGUUAGCAUAAUCUGCUGUUCUAACGUUUGGUAGAACUUGCCCAUAAAACUGUAUGUGCCUGGGGAGGCAACAUUUCAACUUCAAUGUAUUUAAUAGUUAAAGGAAAAUUCAGUCUCUCUAUUCUCUUGAUUUUUUAAACCAAAUUAUACUAUUCUAAGUAUUUGUUUAACCUAAAUUUUAAAAUUUAGAAUAUAAAGCUUUUGACGAAAUUCUCAGUGUAUUUUAAACCUCUGUUUCAUCUAUAAUUAUGGUUCAUUUACAUUCCUAAUACUAUUUUUUCUUCUUUCUUUUUAUCUUCAUCAGUUUUACCAUAGUCUUUCCUAAGAACCCAAUUUUGGCUUUGUUGACCUUUUCUAUUGUAUUUUUUGUUGUUGGUUGUGGUGAUCUUGAGUUCUGGCCUUAUCUUUAUGUCUUUACUUCUCUCCUUGAGCUAAUUCUAUUGUUUGUUUGUUUUUGUUUUUUUACUUCUGAUUUUGGAAGUUUAGCUUGUUAAUUUUCAGCUAUUUUUCUUUUAUGUACUUUCUGUAUUGUUAUAUUUGACUAUUAAAAGUGUUUUUUUAAGCCUGUAUAUGCAAAGUGACCUGCAAACAUAGGAGCCAGGAUACCAAAGAAGGAAGCAGACGAAUCCAGCUUGUUAUAGGAUGGUUUUAUUUGGGAACUUAGGGACUGAAGGAUGGUCUUGGGCAGCUGUGAG
rnacentral:lncRNA from 10 species